rnacentral:rRNA from 1 species
UACGGAGGGGCUAGCGUUGUUCGGAAUUACUGGGCGUAAAGCGCACGUAGGCGGCUUUGUAAGUUAGAGGUGAAAGCCCGGGGCUCAACUCCGGAAUUGCCUUUAAAACUGCAUCGCUAGAAUUGUGGAGAGGUAAGUGGAAUUCCGAGUGUAGAGGUGAAAUUCGUAGAUAUUCGGAAGAACACCAGUGGCGAAGGCGACUUACUGGACACAUAUUGACGCUGAGGUGCGAAAGCGUGGGGAGCAAACAGG